GUUGCAUGCACAUUAUCAUAUAUAUAUAUAAAAAAAAAAGUACAGAUAUUUACAGUCAUUUAAGAGGGAGUAGUCUGUGCAAUAAAAGGCACACAUGACCUUUGACCCUGCAUGAAUGUCCCAUAAGUACAUUUUUCACAGACACUGCCACAUAUUGUGUUACCAUGCUACACACACCAGGAGAAAAAAAGCACUCGAGCCGCUGCAGAGGAGACGUGUGUUGGUGUGUGAUAGAGAUUCACUGACAAGCAGCAGAGCCGUAAAGUGCCCUCUUGAUUGUGCCUAGACACGAUCCUAUCCUCUCAGCAGCCUGAGGCAAAGUUGAAAGUCUUUUUCAGCCAUAAUGAUAAAGCAAGCAGAGACGGUGACUCACUAAGAACAGAAUUCCACAAUCUGUAGGACAAUCUACAGUCAUCAGAGAUUCAGGAUAUUUGGCGAAUGAUUAUCAAUGUCCUACGUGCACCUUCUGUUUGAUAAGGCAGUAAGGCCUGUUGGAUGAGGCAUGAGGCUAAUGCUGAGAGACUGACUACUUGAGUUUUUUUCCCCCCCAUACAGUCAUAAGACGGCUGGGCUGGAAACAAAGGGCUAAAGGUGGUAAUCACACGAUUGGUCUGACUGGCAGCUUGACUCUCCAAUCUGUUCUGUAGUCCUAUGUUGAAUUUUCUUGCCUGUGAAAACGAAUAGAUUUAUAUUUUGUAUUCAGUCAAUUCACCAUUUGCUAAGCCCCACCACCAAAACAGCAACAGACCAAGUCAUAGUUUCAAAAAUGUAAUAAGAAAAAGCGAAUUUGGAUUUGUAAACAUGCUAAAACAUUGUGAACGGGCCUCUACUGUGAUCAAUAUCCUGUGUAAAGAGAUAACAAUAGUAGCACUGUCUAUUUUAUCCUUUACAGAAGUAAAUGACAGUAGCAAGUAAGCAGUUUACCACCUACAGAAGUACCCUAGCAUUAUUUCCUAAACCAAAUGACAAUUUCACAUUGUGUAGGGCUACAUUACAAAAAUACCUGUUCAGAACUGGAACAACUACAGCAAUGAGAGCAAGGAGUAACAAAAGCAGCUCUGCCCUCAUCUUUAUUUGGUUUGGAGGGAAAUGAGCACUGAAACCUGUUUUAAAGAGCAUCAGAUUUGCUCGCUGGGUUUUUGUUACAUUUUCUGCAGCAAAAGAAAAUGACCUUGCAAGAAUAGAUAAAAAUAAAUCAAACCACUGUGACGCCUGUCCAAGUAUGUCCUUAUAUAUAGCUGUGGAUUUCCACAGCUAUCAACAUAAACUGUGAACAUGUACCAACACUAACUUGUAGUGGGGCUCAGCAAAUGGUUGUGUGAGCGCUUGUUUUGUUGUUCGCAGCUUUGCUUUUUUAACUAACACUGGGGGUGCUGCUUUUGGAUAUUUAAUGUUUAACAAGAUGUGCAACUAGUCGACUAGACAUUUAAAUAUUGCUGCUCUUGCUAAUCAGUGCUAGAAGUGCUAGUCAGUUAAAUGUAUUGUCCUUUUUUUCUUCAUGUACAACGGCAAUAACUGGUUCAAAGAACUUGCUGCGCCACCGUGGCAUCUGGUGCUAACCAUGCUAGCCAGUGCUGUUGUGCAGAAUUUUAAAAAACUAAAUUAAGAGAGACUGUAUGUCAGCUUUGUCAGGAUAAACUGGAAAGUAACCAGGCAUCUGACGUGAUGUGCAACGAUACUGUGCACUGGAAUGUGG
ensembl:lncRNA